GAUGAAGAACGCAGCGAAAUGCGAUAAGUAAUGUGAAUUGCAGAAUUCAGUGAAUCAUCGAAUCUUUGAACGCACAUUGCGCCCGCCAGUAUUCUGGCGGGCAUGCCUGUUCGAGCGUCAUUUCAACCAUCAAGCCCCCGGCUUGUGUUGGGGACCUGCGGCUGCCGCAGGCCCUGAAAGCCAGUGGCGGGCUCGCUAGUCACUCCGAGCGUAGUAAUACAUCUCGCUCAGGGCGUGCUGCGGGUUCCGGCCGUUAAAAAGCCUUAUUUACCCAAGGUUGACCUCGGAUCAGGUAGGAAGACCCGCUGAACUUAAGCAUAUCAAUAAGCGGAGGA
rnacentral:misc_RNA from 1 species